AAAAGGAGGAAUGUCAUCCCCCAUGAUAUUGGGGACCCAGAUGAUGAACCAUGGCUCCGCGUCAAUGCAUAUUUAAUCCACGAUACUGCUGAUUGGAAGGACCUGAACCUGAAGUUUGUGCUGCAGGUUUAUCGGGACUAUUACCUCACGGGUGAUCAAAACUUCCUGAAGGACAUGUGGCCUGUGUGUCUAGCUGUGAUGGAAUCUGAAAUGAAGUUUGACAAGGACCAUGAUGGACUCAUUGAAAAUGGAGGCUAUGCAGACCAGACCUAUGAUGGAUGGGUGACCACAGGCCCCAGGUUAGCGGGUAGGGGUUUCCAGGAGGCCUGAGGUAGGAAACUGGGCAACAAGGGAUUGUAGGGCUCAAGAAAGAAUGACUCAUUGCCUAUUACACUGCAUGGGAGCAGCUGGAGCUGCCAGUCUGACCCCCAAACCCAUGUCCCUGAUCAGUGCUUACUGUGGAGGGCUGUGGCUGGCAGCUGUGGCUGUGAUGGUCCAGAUGGCUGCUCUGUGUGGGGCACAGGACAUCCAGGAUAAGUUUUCUUCCAUCCUCAGCCGGGGCCAAGAAGCCUAUGAGAGACUGCUGUGGAAUGGUGAGUUCGGGGAGCCUAAGUAGUCUUAAGGCAGCUGAGAGGACACCAGGAGCCUUAUUUUUCUCUUCCUCAACUCCAGGCCGCUAUUACAACUAUGACAGCAGCUCUCGGCCUCAGUCUCGUAGUGUUAUGUCUGACCAGUGUGCUGGACAGUGGUUCCUGAAGGCCUGUGGCCUAGG
rnacentral:sRNA from 1 species